rnacentral:rRNA from 1 species
GUAGUCCACGCCCUAAACGAUGUCAACUAGUUGUUGGGGAUUCAUUUCUUCAGUAACGUAGCUAACGCGUGAAGUUGACCGCCUGGGGAGUACGGUCGCAAGAUUAAAACUCAAAGGAAUUGACGGGGACCCGCACAAGCGGUGGAUGAUGUGGAUUAAUUCGAUGCAACGCGAAAAACCUUACCUACCCUUGACAUGCCACUAACGAAGCAGAGAUGCAUUAGGUGCCCGAAAGGGAAAGUGGACACAGGUGCUGCAUGGCUGUCGUCAGCUCGUGUCGUGAGAUGUUGGGUUAAGUCCCGCAACGAGCGCAACCCUUGUCUUUAGUUGCUACGCAAGAGCACUCUAGAGAGACUGCCGGUGACAAACCGGAGGAAGGUGGGGAUGACGUCAAGUCCUCAUGGCCCUUAUGGGUAGGGCUUCACACGUCAUACAAUGGUGCGUACAGAGGGUUGCCAACCCGCGAGGGGGAGCCAAUCCCAGAAAACGCAUCGUAGUCCGGAUCGUAGUCUGCAACUCGACUACGUGAAGCUGGAAUCGCUAGUAAUCGCGGAUCAGCAUGCCGCGGUGAAUA